rnacentral:rRNA from 1 species
AUACGGAGGGUGCAAGCGUUAUCCGGAAUCAUUGGGUUUAAAGGGUCCGCAGGCGGAUUAAUAAGUCAGUGGUGAAAUCCUCUCGCUCAACGAGAGAACUGCCAUUGAAACUGUUAGUCUUGAAUUCGGUCGAAGUAGGCGGAAUGUGUCAUGUAGCGGUGAAAUGCAUAGAUAUGACACAGAACACCGAUAGCGAAGGCAGCUUACUAGACCUGGAUUGACGCUCAUGGACGAAAGCGUGGGGAGCGAAAAGGAUUAGAAACCCCAGUAGUCC